UUUGACCUCAAAUCAGGUAGGACUACCCGCUGAACUUAAGCAUAUCAAUAAGCGGAGGAAAAGAAACUAACAAGGAUUCCCCUAGUAACUGCGAGUGAAGCGGGAAA
rnacentral:rRNA from 1 species